GACGAACGCUGGCGGCGUGCUUAACACAUGCAAGUCGAACGAUGAAGAAGAGAAACGCGAACUUCAGUUCAAAUUUCACUUCGGAUUAGUGGCAGACGGGUGAGUAACGCGUGAGCAACCUACCUCUUACAAAGGGAUAGCCUCGGGAAACCGUGAUUAAUACCAUAUGACACAUUCAUAAGGCAUCUUAAGAAUGUUAAAGCUACGGCGGUAAGAGAUGGGCUCGCGUCCCAUUAGCUAGUUGGUGAGGUAACGGCCCACCAAGGCGACGAUGGGUAACCGGCCUGAGAGGGUGAACGGUCACAUUGGAACUGAGACACGGUCCAAACUCCUACGGGAGGCAGCAGUGGGGAAUAUUGCACAAUGGAGGGAACUCUGAUGCAGCGACGCCGCGUGAGCGAUGAAGGAAUUCGUUUCGUAAAGCUCUGUUCUAUGGGAAGAAAAGGACUGUACCAUAGGAGAAAGCCCCGGCUAAAUACGUG
rnacentral:rRNA from 1 species